CCAACUUCUGAGACUUCAAUCCACAAAAACCUUUACACACUUUAAUUUAAGUGUUAGAUUGAGCUUUAAAUUUGUACACAUAUUCAAAACUAAUACACCAAGAUACUAUCCGAAAUUCACUCAUACAUACAAUACAAAAUUUAAGAAAUCUUUAAAUUUAUAAACAUAUUUUUAUUUUUCAAUAUCUAAACCAAUCAAGAACAACUUUAAUUUUGAAAAUAUCUCAAAAACUCAAUAUUUAUUUAAUUGACAUAAAAUUAAUACACAAAAAUCUUUCUUUUAAUUUAUUUUUAAAUUCUACUCUCCAAUCUACCAAAGAACCUCAAAGUUGCCAUGUGUAUAUGGAUUUGUACCUCAUGAUUUGAUUUUGAUCUAGAUUGACAAUUGGACCUCUUGGGUAUCAAUUUUUAAUAAUUUGAGGUAAGUUUUACUUUAUUCUAUUGUUAAUUUUUUUAUAAAUAUGCUUAUAUUAAUCUCUUAUCUCAUUUAUUUUGAUUUGGCUCAUUUAUGCCUUUACAAAGUAAAUAGAAGUUUUUUCUAGAAAAAGGCAGUGUUAAGAUUAAUAAAGGUAAUAAAGCUUCAUACUUCAAAGUCCCUCC
rnacentral:lncRNA from 1 species